rnacentral:rRNA from 1 species
UACAGAGGUCUCAAGCGUUGUUCGGAUUCAUUGGGCGUAAAGGGUGCGUAGGUGGCGCUGUAAGUCGGGUGUGAAAUUUCGGAGCUUAACUCCGAAACUGCAUUCGAUACUGCGGUGCUUGAGGACUGGAGAGGAGACUGGAAUUCAUGGUGUAGCAGUGAAAUGCGUAGAGAUCAUGAGGAAGACCAGUGGCGAAGGCGGGUCUCUGGACAGCUCCUGACACUGAGGCACGAAGGCCAGGGGAGCAAACGGG